UACAGAGGGUGCAAGCGUUGUUCGGAAUUACUGGGCGUAAAGCGCGUGUAGGGGGCGAUGUAAGUCGGGUGUGAAAUCCCUCAGCUUAACUGAGGAAGUGCACUCGAUACUGUGUCGCUUGAGUGUUGGAGGGGAUGGCGGAAUUCCCGGUGUAGAGGUGAAAUUCGUAGAUAUCGGGAGGAACACCUGUGGCGAAGGCGGCCAUCUGGACAACUACUGACACUGAGACGCGAAAGCGUGGGUAGCAAACAGG
rnacentral:rRNA from 1 species